ACGCUGGCGGCAGGCCUAACACAUGCAAGUCGAGCGGCAGCACAGGUACUUGUACCGGGUGGCGAGCGGCGGACGGGUGAGUAAUGCCUAGGAAUCUGCCUGGUAGUGGGGGAUAACGUUCGGAAACGGACGCUAAUACCGCAUACGUCCUACGGGAGAAAGUGGGGGGUCUUCGGACCUCACGCUAUCAGAUGAGCCUAGGUCGGAUUAGCUAGUUGGUGAGGUAAUGGCUCACCAAGGCGACGAUCCGUAACUGGUCUGAGAGGAUGAUCAGUCACACUGGAACUGAGACACGGUCCAGACUCCUACGGGAGGCAGCAGUGGGGAAUAUUGGACAAUGGGCGAAAGCCUGAUCCAGCCAUGCCGCGUGUGUGAAGAAGGUCUUCGGAUUGUAAAGCACUUUGAGUUGGGAGGAAGGGCAUUAACCUAAUACGUUGGUGUUUUGACGUUACCGACAGAAUAAGCACCGGCUAACUCUGUGCCAGCAGCCGCGGUAAUACAGAGGGUGCAAGCGUUAAUCGGAAUUACUGGGCGUAAAGCGCGCGUAGGUGGUUAGUUAAGUUGGAUGUGAAAUCCCCGGGCUCAACCUGGGAACUGCAUUCAAAACUGACUGACUAGAGUAUGGUAGAGGGUGGUGGAAUUUCCUGUGUAGCGGUGAAAUGCGUAGAUAUAGGAAGGAACGCCAGUGGCGAAGGCGACCACCUGGACUGAUACUGACACUGAGGUGCGAAAGCGUGGGGAGCAAAC
rnacentral:rRNA from 1 species